CCAGGAUGUCUGACUCUAGGUGAGUGAUCACACUAUCGUGAUUAUCUGGGAUGUGAAGAUCUCUUUUGUACGGUUCUUCUGUGUAUUCUUGCCAAAUGCUUCUCCUCAUAACCUGUUUCAGAAUUGUGGAAUCAGGAAUUCGUACUCCUUCUCAAUAGUCUCUUCCAUCUAUGAGGGCCUUGCCUUUGACAGGCUGUGUUGUUUGUCUUAUACAUCAUGGCACCUUAAUGUCAGUUAUAGUUUAUAAAUAGAAUAGUUGUUUGCAUGCAUAUUACCUCUCUGCAACAAUAACAGGUAUUACUUUUAUAAACACAGUCAUACUUCAUCAUGCUUUAUCACUUACAUCAUUCCAUUUGAUCUUCACAAGAAAUCUAUGAGGUUGAUAUUAUUAUUUCCAUUUUUGUAGGGGAGAAAUCUAAGCUGAGACUUGAGGUAACUCACAUGCUGUUAAAUAAUUGCCAAGAAAGAGGUGGCCUGUGCCCAGAACUUCUGACUCCCCUUCACCAUUUUUCAUGUUCAAGGCCCCCCAUUAUGCCAUCAUAGAUACUGCAAGGGGGUAACUGGGAGUCUGCCCAGUUACUGGGUAAGAUCUGAUUCUCCUUCUCAGAGAGGGACUCCAGUAAGAGACUAGGGGUCUGGAGGUCCAGCCAGGGCGCACUGGGGAGCUGGCUAGGGUACUAGGUCAGGAUGUGCCUGUAGCAGCACAGGAUGAAACAGGAAAUGUGAUCCAACAUCUUGAGAAGCUGAGUCAAAAAUUCAAGUCAACCACCUAUGCAGUGAUGAAUUUUAAGCUCUACUCAUCUGGGGCAAGUUUCUGCAACAGGGCUAGUUUCCCUUGGCUCAUGUCCAGUGCGCUGGUAAGUGAGGUUCUGCCUGAUUUCAGCUUGCUGUGUUUUGCACUGUUUGAGAUGGAGAUGCUUUGAUUCAACACCACAUAGUGGGUAUUCAGUGCCCUCCAAGACUGUGAAUUCCUACUGGUUUUUCUUUGCCUUUCCUGUCUAGCCUCAUUAUUUCAGAAGAUGCUAAUUAUAUUAUCUUGUUCAUACUAAAUAUAGUCAUCCAGGAAUUAUUCAGAAGAAGACACUGGCAUCAUGCUAUAUCC
rnacentral:lncRNA from 1 species